GGGGGGUCCCAAUUUUAAACCUCUCUUAACGGAGGAACCAAUUGGGAGGGCAAAUUUUGGGUCCCAGCCAGCCCCGGGUAAUUCCCAGUUCCCAAUAGGCGUAUAUUAAAAGUUGUUGCCAGUUAAAAAAGCUUGGUAGUUGAAACUUGGGCCUGGGUGGGCGGGUUCCGCCUCCACGGGGUGCACUCGUUCGGGCCGGGCCUUCCUUUUGAAGAACUUCAUGCCCUUCACUGGGCGUGCUGGGGAAUCAGGACUUUUACUUUGAAAAAAUUAGAGUGUUCAAAGCAGGCCUUUGCUCGAAUACGUUAGCAUGGAAUAAUAAAAUAGGGCGUGCGUUUCUAUUUUGUUGGUUUCUAGAGACGCCGCAAUGAUUAACAGGAACAGUCGGGGGCAUCAGUAUUCAGUUGUCAGAGGUGAAAUUCUUGGAUUUACUGAAGACUAACUACUGCGAAAGCAUUUGCCAAGGAUGUUUUCAUUAAUCAGUGAACGAAAGUUAGGGGAUCGAAGACGAUCAGAUACCGUCGUAGUCUUAACCGUAAACUAUGCCGACUAGGGAUCGGGCGAUGUUCUUUUUCUGACUCGCUCGGCAACCUUACGAGAAAUCAAAGUUUUUGGGUUCUGGGGGGAUUAUGGUCGCAAGGCUGAAACUUAAAGAAAUUGACGGAAGGUCACCACCAGGCGUGGAGCCUGCGGCUUAAUUUGACUCAACACGGGGAAACUCACCAGGUCCAGAUGAAAUAAGGAUUGACAGAUUGAGAGCUCUUUCUUGAUUUUUCAGGUGGUGGUGCAUGGCCGUUCUUAGUUCGUGGGGGUGACUUGUCCUGCUUAAUUGCGAUAACGAGCGAGACCUUACUCUGCUAAAUAGCCAGGCUAACUUUGGUUGGUCGCCGGCUUCUUAUAGAGACUAUCAACUCACGUUGAUGGAAGUUUGAGGCACCAACAGGUCUGUGAUUCCCUUAUAUCUUCCGUAAC
rnacentral:rRNA from 1 species